GAUGAACGCUGGCGGCGUGCCUAAUACAUGCAAGUCGAGCGAACGGAUUAAGAGCUUGCUCUUAUGAAGUUAGCGGCGGACGGGUGAGUAACACGUGGGUAACCUGCCCAUAAGACUGGGAUAACUCCGGGAACCCGGGGCUAAUACCGGAUAACAUUUUGAACCGCAUGGUUCGAAAUUGAAAGGCGGCUUCGGCUGUCACUUAUGGAUGGACCCGCGUCGCAUUAGCUAGUUGGUGAGGUAACGGCUAACCAAGGCAACGAUGCGUAGCCGACCUGAGAGGGUGAUCGGCCACACUGGGACUGAGACACGGCCCAGACUCCGACGGGAGGCAGCAGUAGGGAAUCUUCCGCAAUGGACGAAAGUCUGACGGAGCAACGCCGCGUGAGUGAUGAAGGCUUUCGGGUCGUAAAACUCUGUUGUUAGGGAAGAACAAGUGCUAGUUGAAUAAGCUGGCACCUUGACGGUACCUAACCAGAAAGCCACGGCUAACUACGUGCCAGCCGCCGCUGUAA
rnacentral:rRNA from 1 species